GUUUAACAUGAAUAAAAGCAUGUUCCUACCAGCAAGCCAGACUACCUUAUGACAGACAACUCACUCAUAAUACAAGUUCUGGACAAGAGGAGCCUGAGGUUGAGCUCUUCCCUUGCGACUCACAAAUGCUAACAAACAAUGAAACAAAUUAGCUGAUUUGCACAGUUUGAGAUAUUUGUCUCUGGGAAGGUAACAUGGUUUUUGCUG